rnacentral:rRNA from 1 species
UACGUAGGGUGCGAGCGUUGUCCGGAAUUAUUGGGCGUAAAGAGCUCGUAGGCGGUCUGUCGCGUCUGCUGUGAAAACCCGAGGCUCAACCUCGGGCCUGCAGUGGGUACGGGCAGACUAGAGUGCGGUAGGGGAGAAUGGAAUUCCUGGUGUAGCGGUGAAAUGCGCAGAUAUCAGGAGGAACACCGGUGGCGAAGGCGGGUCUCUGGGCCGAUAUUGACGCUGAGGAGCGAAAGCGUGGGGAGCGAACAGG